GACGAACGCUGGCGGCGUGCCUAAUACAUGCAAGUAGAACGCACAGUUUAUACCGUAGCUUGCUACACCAUAAACUGUGAGUUGCGAACGGGUGAGUAACGCGUAGGUAACCUGCCUGGUAGCGGGGGAUAACUAUUGGAAACGAUAGCUAAUACCGCAUAAUAUUGAUUAUUGCAUGAUAAUUGAUUGAAAGAUGCUAUUGCAUCACUACCAGAUGGACCUGCGUUGUAUUAGCUAGUAGGUGAGGUAACGGCUCACCUAGGCGACGAUACAUAGCCGACCUGAGAUGGUGAUCGGCCACACUGGGACUGAGGCACGGCCCAGACUCCUACGGGAGGGAGCAGUAGGGAAUCUUCGGCAAUGGACGAAAGUCUGACCGAGCAACGCCGCGUGAGUGAAGAAGGUUUUCGGAUCGUAAAGCUCUGUUGUAGGAGAAGAACGGGUGUGAGAGUGGAAAGUGCACACUGUGACGGUAUCUUACCAGAAAGGGACGGCUAACUACGUG
rnacentral:rRNA from 1 species